CAAGCCAUGGCGGCACCCAAAUCUUAACAUGGUCUUUUUAAUAAACAUGCAAUCACCUUGGCCAUCUAUGCAAAAUGUACUUUAUUUUACCAAAAGCUAUGAAUAGAGGUACUGUUGAAAAGUGUAUCAGAAGAAAGAGUUACCUUUGCUGGAAAUUCUUGGCCAUCUCUUGGAAGGUAUAUUUUUUAUGGGGUUGCUCAAAUUUAAUGUAGUUGAGCAAUUUCUCUCAUUCUUAUUUUGUAUGAGUUUGUGUAGUUAUAAAUUUCCUCAACAUGUUGUUUGGAGGUUAAAAUGAUCGACUCAGCUCUCUGCUCCAUCAGGAUUAACAGACUGAACUCUGCGCGUUAUUUUUCUUUAAUAAGGCAAUAAUAAUGUAAAACUGAUUAUUACUGAGAAUGAAUCUUCUUCGUCUUCUUUGACAACAGUUUGUACGCUUCUUCUUUUGUUACUAGUCCUACAUGGCUUUAUCAGAGCCCUGAUCAAUCUCAAGGUUGGAUUUUUACUCUUUUUUACUUCCCUUAGAUGCUUUACAGUGUCAAGUUGGAAACAAUUUCUGUCUCAAUUUGAGUUUGAGGGUGUGGUGGUGCUGCAGUUGUAGACCAGUCUGGAGAGAAUGUACUCAAUUUAUUCCUCUAUUUUUCAACGACUAUAUGAAGCCCAUAGUGUUAAUACGAGUGAGAGCUUUGCUGCAGUUGAGACAAUCCCUCGGUUCCUGUUCUAGAGCAACAUCAAGACUAUAAUCGACAGCCACUCUAUUCUUCAGCUUCUUAUCAGAGCCAUUCUUCCCUACUAUUACUCAUGCACCACUUUAUUCCAGUUCUCAGCCUCAGGAUUAGACUUCCAGUACUCAUAGACAACUCUAUAAGAGCU